AUUGAACGCUGGUGGCAGGCCUAACACAUGCAAGUCGAACGAGCGGCGGACGGGUGAGUAAUGUAUGGGGACUGCCCGAUAUAGGGGGAUAACUACUGGAAACGGUGGCUAAUACCGCAUACUAUCGGAUAACCCAUAUUGGAUUAGCUACUAGGUGGGGUAAAGGCUCACCUAGGCGACGAUGCCUAGCGGGUCUGAGAGGAUGAUCAGCCACACUGGGACUGAGACACGGCCCAGACUCCUACGGAGGCAGCAGUGGGGAAUCUUGGACAAUGGGCGCAAGCCUGAUGCAGCCAUGCCGCGUGUAUGAAGAAGGUCUUAGGGUUGUAAAGUACUUUCAGCGGGGAGGCGUUACCCGCAGAAGAAGCACCGGCUAACUCCGUGCCAGCAGCCGCGGUAAUUC
rnacentral:rRNA from 1 species